rnacentral:lncRNA from 1 species
GUGAGAACCAUGAGCCUAGUCUCGACCUCAGGAGUUGCCUGAGGAAACUGAUGCUAAAAAUCCAAGUUGCAAAUCAAAAUAUUAGAAAAAUCAAGCCAUGCUCUAGACUUGGAAGCCCGACACUUAGAUCAUCUCUCUCUGAGCAGAGCCAGCUGUUGGCCCCCAUAGGAGUUGGAGACUUGGAAUCCCCUUUGGUGCAGAAACUAUUCCUUCAUGAGAAGAAGUCCUUAAAUAGGCUCUUUAGACAGGAGGCCACAUGUUGAAGGCAGCAGGGUCACAAGAUGGAAGAACCAGGGUCCCAGUAUCAUCGCUCCCUGCUUCAAGCUGCCAGGGGCAGCCUAACCCACAUGGCAUUAUGACAUAAGAAACAAAGUAACUAUUGUUUUAUUAAAUCAAUGAGAUAUUGGGCUUCUUGUUAUAGCAACUAGUAUAAAUUGCCCUGACUGAUACAUUAUGGAUUUAGAGUGCACUGUACUACAACUGUUUGUUGUAUUUUCAAA